AUGUGUCAACCUCCUUUGGGAACCUGAUUGGCUCAGCCAUCAGGUAUUUUAAAAAAGAAAUGAGUGAAGAGGAAGAUUCUGCGUCUAGAAUUCAAACCAGAUGAUGUAAGAGAAAUUCUAAGCUAUCGGUGAGGAAAUGGAGGAAUAAAACACGAGGAAACAGAUGGAAAUCCCGAGCCCGGGGCCACAGCCCCAGGCGGCCUGGCAGCAAAGCCUUGUGCUGCUCUCCACUUCAGCCAACUUUCCCUCAAACUCUCUGCUUUAACCACAAGCUGGCCAACUCAGAACAAGCCCCUUAACUCAGCGCUUUGUGUCCAGCUUACACUUCUUCCCACCACGUCACCUGUCCGGGAGUUAACCUGUGUCACAGUCAGGCUGUGACCACAUUGCGAUGACUCAUCCGGUCAACUUCACAAAAGAGCUGAUGUCCUGGAUGCUCCUUGAACGAAAGCCAACCAGUGAGUCAGUCAAUAAAGUCAGUGGCGUUGCCUGGUGCAAGUUAUCUACCUACUGAAAUUGGAUGACAGAUUUACUGUAGGGUAUUAAAUUACCAUUUCAUUAUAAAUAACACCAACCUAAUGGUCUUUAAAAAAAAAAUAACCUGUAGUGGCCACUUUAAAUAAAGCGAGGUCAAUUGUUUAUAAA
ensembl:lncRNA